rnacentral:rRNA from 1 species
UACGUAGGCAGCAAGCGUUGUUCGGAGUUACUGGGCGUAAAGAGUGCGUAGGCGGUCUGGCAAGUUCGGUGUGAAAUCUCCCGGCUUAACUGGGAGGGUGCGCCGAAGACUGUUGGGCUGGAGUGUGGGAGAGGCAAGCGGAAUUCCUGGUGUAGCGGUGAAAUGCGUAGAUAUCAGGAGGAACACCGGUGGUGUAGGCGGCUUGCUGGACCAUAACUGACGCUGAGGCACGAAAGCGUGGGGAG